AUCGUAAGUGGGAGAAACUGGCCUAAAUGAUAAAAGCUCAAGAUCUCAUCAGAUAAUCAGGGUAGUGUUCAAUUUGAGUACUUGUUACAGGCAUGUAGAUAGCUGUAUCACUUUUGCCCAUUGUUCAUAUUGUUGUGUUUUUCCCCUUGAUCAUAUUGUUUCCAUCAUGUUCUUUAUAGAACAAUACCUUUUGUUUACAAUACAUUUGAUGCUAUAUAAUGAGGUGAUGAAUAUUUCUGGUGUUAUUUGGUGGGAUACUAAUAAGGUGGAUGGUGAUUAUAUGGAUGGCAAAAAUCCCCGGGGGGGCGGGUCUCC
rnacentral:lncRNA from 1 species